rnacentral:rRNA from 1 species
UACGUAGGGUGCGAGCGUUAAUCGGAAUUACUGGGCGUAAAGCGUGCGUAGGUGGUUCGUUGUGUCUGUGGUGAAAGCCCCGGGCUUAACCUGGGAAUGGCCAUGGAAACUGGCGAGCUGGAGUGUGGCAGAGGGGGGUGGAAUUCCACGUGUAGCAGUGAAAUGCGUAGAGAUGUGGAGGAACACCGAUGGCGAAGGCGGCAUCCUGGACCGGUAUUGACGCUGAGGCGCGAAAGCUAGGGGAGCAAACGGG